rnacentral:lncRNA from 1 species
GAGAUGGAGCUCUGCAUAUGCAGGCUUUGAUGCUGUUGUUCUCAACAGGGUCAGGCCUGGUGAUUAUGUGAUGUCCUUCUUUGGUGUGUUUGACCCAGUGUUGUUUGGAGUCUGAGGAGGUUUGGCCUUAAAAAAUCAAACUACCAUGGAAACUGCUUUACCCAAAAUUUUGUUUCCCAGCCUUCACAAGAUUGCCUACUGGGGAGAGUUUAGUUAUGUGAACAUAUUCAUAAACUGGACGCAAUUGAAGACAUUGGUUAUUCUACCAAGGCUUUGACUGAAAUGACAUAUAUUUUGACACACAGGAGGUUAUUUCUGAGAGAAAGCCAGCCUGGUGGACUAGAUGAAAGUCACUGUAAGAUCUGUUGAUCCUGAGAAGAGGAAUUGCACAACUCCACCUGUCAAUGCCAAGUGGAGCACCCAGACGACGCAGCUGAUAGACUUCCUAUGCAAGCCAUGGGGGAUUAGCCUGAUGACAGGAAUAUUAACCUUACUUUUUGACUUUUGGGUUUCGGCUAUUAAGUUGUUUAAAAGGGUUUUAAGAAUUAAUGGGUGCCUACCCACCUUCAUUCCUGUCUGGCCUAACAUGUUUACUUGGAUAUAAGUCUUUUCACUCUAAGUCUCUUGGCCAUAGGUAGUCUCAUUGAGAGACAAGUUGGACUCAGGCCAAUAGCCACAGCAACUUGGCAAUAAUAUGGUACAAAAUAAAAGCUUUGCCAUGA